CAUAUGCUUGUCUCAGAGAUUAAGCCAUGCAUGUCUAAGUACAUACCUUCAAACGGUGAAACCGCGAAUGGCUCAUUAAAUCAGCUAUGGUUCCUUAGAUCGUACAUACUACAUGGAUAACUGUAGUAAUUCUAGAGCUAAUACAUGCCACUAUGCCCUGACCCGCGAGGGGACGGGUGGAUUUAUUAGAACAGAACCAAUCGGUUGUAGCUUCGGCUGCUUCCGUUGCACUCUGUGAUGACUCUGGAUAACUUCACUGAUCGCAGUCGGCCUUGUGUCGGCGACGUAUCUUUCAAAUGUCUGCCCUAUCAAUUUUCGAUGGUAGGUGACCUGCCUACCAUGGUGAUAACGGGUAACGGGGAAUCAGGGUUCGAUUCCGGAGAGGGAGCCUGAGAAAUGGCUACCACUUCCAAGGAAGGCAGCAGGCACGCAAAUUACCCAAUCCCGGCACGGGGAGGUAGUGACGAAAAAUACGGAUACGGGACUCAUCAGAGGCUCCGUAAUUCGAAUGAGUACAAUUCAAAUCCUUUAACGAGGAUCCACUGGAGGGCAAGUCUGGUGCCAGCAGCCGCGGUAACUCCAGCUCCAGAAGCGUAUAUUAAAGUUGUUGCAGUUAAAAAGCUCGUAGUUGGAUCUGGGUCGCAUGGCUACAUGCCGUUGCUUGUAUUCCUGGCUUGGUUACGACUGGGUCGGGUUUGCGAGUCGGUGUCGUGGUUGUGCAGCCUUUCUGCCGUGUCUGUUUCGACAGGUGCUGACUGAAUCGGUGGGCUUGUCUCGCUGGUUUGUUGGCAUGCUUCCGGAUGCCUUUAAACGGGUGUCGGGGGCGGACGGCACGUUUACUUUGAACAAAUUUGAGUGCUCAAAGCAGGCCUGUGUGCCUGAAAAUUCUUGCAUGGAAUAAUGGAAUAGGACUUCGGUUCUAUUUUGUUGGUUUUCGGAUCCGAAGUAAUGGUUAAGAGGGACAGACGGGGGCAUUUGUAUGGCGGUGUUAGAGGUGAAAUUCUUGGAUCGCCGCCAGACAAACUACAGCGAAAGCAUUUGCCAAGGAUGUUUUCAUUGAUCUGGAGCGAAAGU
rnacentral:rRNA from 1 species